rnacentral:rRNA from 1 species
AGCGCAGGCGGACCGGCAAGUUGGAAGUGAAAACCAUGGGCUCAACCCGUGAAUUGCUUUCAAAACUAGCUUGGCCUUGAGUAGUGCAGAGGUAGGUGGAAUUCCCGGUGUAGCGGUGGAAUGCGUAGAUAUCGGGAGGAACACCAGUGGCGAAGGCGACCUACUGGGCACCAACUGACGCUGAGGCUCGAAAGCAUGGGUAGCAAACA